UUGCUUUUUCCUUUGAUGAGAAUUUCUUCGAUAUUUUUUUGAUUCUGAGUUCUCUGAAUCUACCAUGGUUUUCUGGAUGCGAUGAUAAGUGUCGUAUUGAAUUGAAAGAAAGAAAGAGACAAUUAAUUUUAAUUAGA
rnacentral:ribozyme from 12 species